CCUUUCAAUGUCAUCAUCAUAUUUCCAGGCACCAGUGUCUGCACCCAUUAGGCUCACGUCCCCAGGGAGUAUUCCUUCUGGCCAAGACUCUGUAUCUAUACUGUCCCGGAUACCUUCCAAGUUCAGGGAAGUUUUUGAGCUCCCAUUCUGAACUGUUGUGCAAUUGCUCCACAUGAUAAUUGUGGGGACAAAAUGGAUCUUCUUACCACCUUAUGUCCACUGUGCUCUUAUUAUUACAAUGUAACAAAAAGUGAGCUGGGAACUUAGGGAGGUCUCAUUCAAUGAAACAUCCAAUUCUUUGCUAGCAAAGGUAAAAAAGAAUAGAAUUCCCUUAUGAGAGACAAUUUUGCAACCAAGGAGAUUAUACUGUGUAAUGGUUUGAAAGAUUUGGGAUCAGGUCGCCUGGCAUGUUUGCAAUCUUUCCAUCUGUAUAACAUAAUAUCUGACAUAAGCAAUUUAAGGAGGAAUGAAUUAUUUUGCGUUAUGGUUCCAGAGGUUUCAGUCCAUGGUCUGCUAGCUCUAGUGCUGUGACCUGAGGUGAGGCAGAACAUCAUGAGGGAAGGAGGAGGUGGAGAAAAACUGCUCCUUACAUGCAGCAAGGCAGAAAAAGGAUAAGAAAAAGCCUGAGUGGAAGGACUAAGAAAGAAGAUGUAUCCUUCAAAGGAACUUUCUUGACCUACUGACAUCUCAGUUGCCUCAUCUCUAAAGUGGGAAGGAUAGUGACACGUACUUCACAAAGUUCUUUAGGAAUUAAAUGAGCUAAAGUGUUUGUCCACGGAGAAAACCAUGUUGGAAUUCAACCCACACUGUAGCGUAUGAGGCAGGAAACACAGUCUGACUACAGUGUUUCAAGGUGAGCCAUUCAGAGGGGGCUAGAAUUAGGUAAGGUCAUUAGGUUGGAGCCCCAUUACUGAGUCCAGAUAGCUUCCGGAGAAGGUGAAAGAGCAGCUUCCUGAACUCCUUCUCUCCUGCCCUGCUUUCCCUCUGCCUGCUGAGGUCUCUGGCAGCAAGAAGGGCAUCACCGGUUGCUGAUUUUCCAUCCUGGACCCAGAGGACGCAUGAAAACACAUGUUUCCCUGUAGCUUUCCCAGUGUUAUCUUGAGUGUCUCCCAGAAGCCAUAUGCCCAGGUCUUGGACUGCAGCCUGUAGUUUUCUGGAUGCUGUGAAGCCUUCAGGACAUGAGAACCAGUGAGAGGGACCCAGGGACCAGUGACCAUGCGUUUGAAGGGAGGAUCAGUAAGCUGACCUCUUCCAACCUGUUUCCCAGCUACCAUGAGCUGAAUAGUUUUUCUCUGUCCCACAGCUGCGUAGCUACCAUCACAAGGAUGAACACCUUUGAGAUCCUGAGCCAAAAUAAACUGUUCAUUCUUUAAACUGAGAAUUUUCUCCAGCAUUUUGUCACAGUGAUCCAAAGCUGAUUAACACACACAGCUUGUGGUGUUUUGCUAUUAGCAACUGAAAACGAAUUGAGGUGAUGGGAAUCUGGUUACUACCUGCUAUGUCUAGAUGAGAUCUUGCGUAGCAAUGGCUGUCAGCUUCAUUCCCUGCUGACCACUCCACUCAUGGAGAGGCCCUCCCUGCUACAGGCAGAGUCCAUGUGGUACAGGGUGUGAUGCAAAACCUUCUUUAGAGACCUUCACUUUGUAUUUUUCAAACCAGACAUGCAUUCAUUGGAGGAAAACCAAGCUCUUGCUCUCUAUUAUUUGACUGAAAA